rnacentral:rRNA from 1 species
AAGUCAUCAUGGCCCUUACGAGUAGGGCUACACACGUGCUACAAUGGUCGGUACAGCUGGUUGCUAACCCGCGAGGGGGCGCUAAUCCAACAAAGCCGAUCGUAGUCCGGAUCGCAGUCUGCAACUCGACUGCGUGAAGUCGGAAUCGCUAGUAAUCGCGGAUCAGAAUGCCGCGGUGAAUACGUUCCCGGGCCUUGUACACACCGCCCGUCACACCAUGGGAGUUGAUUGCACCAGAAGUAGCUAGCUUAACCUUCGGGAGGGCGGUUACCACGGUGUGGUUAAUGACUGGGGUGAAGUCGUAACAAGGUACCA